UCGCCUGUAGGUCAGAGGUUAGACUGCCGUCCUUCUAAGUCGGAGGUCGGGGGUUCAAAUCCCCCCAGGCGAG
rnacentral:tRNA from 1 species